CCUUUGGAUUCUAUUACUAGAGAAACGUAUCUUUCCAGGCCGUUGCGCCGAGGCUCUGGAAUGAUCUCCCUUUGUCUCUUCAUUCACUGGACUCUGUUGAUGUUUUUAAGAGAAAACUUAAAACCCAUGUGUUUCUCCAGGCAUUCAAUUCGUAGUAGUGAGAGGGCUG